CCUACGGGUGGCAGCAGUGAGGAAUAUUGGUCAAUGGCCGGAAGGCUGAACCAGCCAUGCCGCGUGAAGGUCAGUGCCCUAUGGGCGUUAAACUUCUUUUGUGCGGGAGCAAUAAUGGUCACGUGUGGCCAGACGAGAGUACCGUACGAAUAAGCAUCGGCUAACUCCGUGCCAGCAGCCGCGGUAAUACGGAGGAUCCGAGCGUUAUCCGGAUUUAUUGGGUUUAAAGGGAGCGUAGAUGGGUUGUUAAGUCAGUUGUGAAAGUUUGCGGCUCAACCGUAAAAUUGCAAUUGAUACUGGCAGACUUGAGUUGGCGAGAAGUACGCGGAAUGCGCGGUGUAGCGGUGAAAUGCAUAGAUAUCGCGCAGAACUCCGAUUGCGAAGGCAGCGUACCGGCGCCAGACUGACGCUGAGGCACGAAAGCGUGGGGAUCGAACAGGAUUAGAUACCCUUGUAGUC
rnacentral:rRNA from 1 species